ensembl:lncRNA
AUCCAAAACCCCAGAUGGGGCUCUGAAUGAAUUUCUCUUAGUGGCCUGAAGAUCUUUAGUCGCAACAGAAAUACCUUACAACCACAGAACUCCAAAUCCUGGUAAGUCAUUCUGUGUCCUAGUUUCUUGGAGAUUCAACAAUAUUCUGCUGACUGUGGGUACCCUUGGCCUCUCUGAGGGCUUCUCACCUUUCCCUCUGUCCAUUCACACUUUAUUACCCAGCCUCAAACAAACCUCUGCCAGCCCUCCCCACCAUCCAUCCACUCACUUAUCCAUUCAUUCUUUCCCUUCCUUCAGCCAUGUCAGGUAUCCCCUCAACUGUCUACUCACCUGCUCUGACUAUGUUGAAGGCUGUGGGCGGAGUCAGUCUUCAGUUGUCCCGUAGACCUGCCUGAGGACUUCCCUUCAGGCCAAUUUUUACAUGAGUUCUUACUGUUCCCGCUUCUCUGCAGUACUUCUUAGCAUUACCACUAAUACGCUUGUUCAUAAUUCCAACAUGACACACUGUAGGAACUCAGAGAAAGAAUUCUUUGAGAAAACAAUUCACUGUCUCAAUAGCCACUUCUCAAUAGUCUCUUCCCCCACUCACUUUACAUGGAGACUGAGCUCACACCUUGGAAAGCAAACCUGAAAACUUAGAAGCAGUUUCCCUUCUUGUACCUUCUCUCAGGUUAAGGUUUUGCUCUGCCUGAGAGAAACUGUAAUGAAGGGGAAAGAUGAGCAUGGGGUAAAAUCCAUGACAUGUAGCUUCAUGGUUCCUUCUGAAGUUGUGAAAAUUCCCCGUGCACCUGACACUUCUUUCCUCGAUUGCAAAGGUACAAAAAUAUGUAUUCCAAAGCCAACUGAGAGGAGAUUUGGGGAUUUGGGUCAGUUUGUCUCGUUUGCUUUAUUUCAUUCCUUUCAAUGGAUAAUUGAAAGUUGCCUCUUUCUGGGUAAGUGAUUAUGUAUAAUAUAGAUCAAAGCUUUUAGUAACACAGUUUAAUAAUUUAUUUGAUUAGAAUUUCAGUAUAGUGGUGGUUGUGAGAAAUGUCUUCCCUGGUAACCCUAGGUGAAGGGGCGCUUGGCACCAUCCUGAGAUGUCCUCAUAUUCUCUCUCUCUCUCUCUUUUUCUCUUCCACACAUACACAGUCUUCAGUAACUUCAACUGUUUAACAUAAAACAAAGGAAAAAUGUCACCCUUGAAGGUGGCCCUUCAGCCCUCCGAGUGAAAGGGCGUAUAGAAACAGCACCUUGUGUCUGGCCAUGCUUGACUCCAGCUCCUGUGCUCUGGUACCUCAUUGUGUCCUCACAGCAGCCCUGGAAGGUAGGAGGGUCGCUACUGCCAUCCUUGUGUGUAUGGACACUUGAGACAGAGAUAAGGCCAGUGACUUGCCUAACUAAGUUCUCUGGAACCCCUCCUCUGUCAAGGGAAGUCUUGCCUGGAAAGGUAUCUUGCCCUGUUUCUCAAGGUGUGAGGGUGUGGGUGGGCGUGGCCUCCUUUCUUCCUUCCCAUUCUGCAUGACUCUCCCCUUCCGUUCCUUCUUCCUUUGCUCUCAUUUCCAAACAGGUAUUGGAACUCUGAGGCAGCAACAACCUCAGAGCCAAUGAAAUGUAAUCUUAGAGAGUGCUUCCUGAGUUUGGGGGCCUCUGUGUUACAAGUACGCAAAUGAACGUAUGAAAGAAAUACAGAGAUAAUUUAGAUUCUUGGUAAUUCUUAAAUGGCUUGUUUCCCACUGAACUGACAUUUUCUUAGGCUAAAGGGUAUAAUUGUAAACCCUUUCAUAGACAUUCAUUAAAAAAUUUUUUAAGAACUCUUUACCCAUAUCAAAACUGGAGUGAAAAUAGGAAACAGUGCUAUAAUUCUAAUUCAUUGUAUUACCCUAAAUUAAGUCAAACUGAGAUUACAAUAGAUGUCUCAAUAGAUCAGAAACUGGAAAGCACUAUGGAAAAUAUCUGCCAAAAUACAUUUUAUACAUUUUUUAUUUUAUAAUUUGGUCUAGUUAAAAUGCUCAUUAGCUCAAUUUAAUGGGUGUUACUAGAUUCAUUAAGAUGUCUAAAUAUGAAUACCAUUUCCUCAGUAUUAUAAUGUUGCUUGAAAUAUUUGACAGAAAACAUUUCUUUUUAGAAAAAUGUUUUUUGAAUUGAAGUUUGUAUGUACAAUUCAAUGCUUAGUAAGUCAGUAUACAUUUUCAUGACAUUUUUCAGAGUCAAUAGUUUUAAAUAUCUUAUUGUUAUUAU